CAGAGUUCAUGCCCUCACGGGUAGAUCUCCCACCCUUGAAUAUUUUAUACCUUUGUUGCUUUGGCGGGCCGCUUCGGCUACCGGCUUCGGCUGGUGAGUGCCCGCCAGAGGACCUAAAACUCUUGUUUAAUCAUAUUGUCUGAGUACUAUAUAAUAGUUA
rnacentral:misc_RNA from 1 species